CGGUCUGAGCCGCUUGGACUGUCUGCGCUAGUCCUCAUGCAAGUAAACGUGGCUGCUUUCCUGAAGCAGCUUGAGAUCAGAUGACGAUGAUGAUAGUGAUGAUUUCCAAGAGGAGGACGGUUCAGUCCUCCACAACACAGGUUCAGGGGGGCAGUCGAGAGUUUGGUUGAAGAUUGUCAGUCGACAUCUGUCGCCUUACAGAAUCCUCGAUGUUGUUGUAAAGAGGAAACGCCCGUCAGUAAAGACACUCUCUGCCAAAAAACAGUAUACAGUAUCAGUGGAUUGGCCAUGCCGGCUCAUAUGCAUUUUGUCCUGGAAUAAACCUUGGUGAGCCAUGCAGGUAAAAUCUACCGGAGGAACACACUGGAUGUCUACACAAACACAGACUAACACACACAGAAUCCGUUCAGUUAUUACUUUAUUACAUCGAGGACACACAACCAGAGGAGAGCAAAGCAUGACCAUUGUGCCCUGGAAUUAAAUACAGGCGAUUCCUCAAAACGUGUUCUUCUUUCCCCUCACUUGCUCAGCGGCUGCUGUUGAACCCGAGGAACUGUUUUGUACGCAGCGUUUGCACUCUGCUCGCCUCCUCGUUCCUCCUCCACCUUCUUCCCUUCAGAGGGGUUAUCUUGGGAGUUGACCAUAAGACGGGUCAGCUUGCAGGAGGAUUAUGUGAGCUGCACUCUUAAACGAGGCCUGCAGCUUUCCUGCCUGUUCCUCCCUGACCGUCUGUUUCCACGGGAUCAUCAGCAAACCGGACAAUUUGAUCCACGUUUCAUGAUUGGUGAAGUAAAGCUUUCUAGUAAUGGGACUAGUGAUGUGAGUAAUUCUUCCAAUUCUGAUUGACAGCCGGAAGACUACUUGUAACAUUUACAUAUUGUGUGAGUGACAUCAUUCGGCGACUUAAUACCGAUUAGAAAGGCCUCAGGGCCUCAAAUGAAAUGGACCCUGCUUGCAUCAGCCAGCACCGGGUUUCCUGUAUGAGUAAACGUUUUCUACCCGGCACAGGGACAACUAUGGACGCGCUGGUGUUCACGCUCGUACAAAUACUCAGGGAUGCAAGUGUUGCUAGUGUGCGGAUCAGCAGGUAGCAGGUCGGUGACGGGUCUCUGAUCCAUCGGGAUGAUCCUGUGUGAGGCGCCGGGGGGGUAGAUGUAGAAUCACACCCAACAGAAAUAUCACACAGAGAAAACAGUAUCAACCCUGCCCUUGUUUUCCAUUCCAUGUGUUUGUGUUGCCUCCUGAAACCCAAUGAAGACCCAAAUACAUUUGACUUUCUGUCAAUUAUGUUACGAUCAUUCCUCCCAACACUUGAGCUCUCCUCUCCCCCCUUUCCUUCGCUCAUCUCAUCCGUAAGGAGGACAGAGCAACGCUACAUCAUCUCCGACUCCUCCCACAUCUGUCACAUGUCUCAAAGGAGCUCCUCCAACAAGGUGACGGUUUGAAGGAGUCUCCGGGUAACAUAUGGAGAGAAGUUUCCACAGAGAAACGCCCGUCAUUAGGACUUUAACCAGAAGCCCCUCACUGAUGACCCCGCUCUGUGUGAGUGUGUGUGUGCGUGCUUGUGUGUGUGCGUGUGUGUGUGUGUGCGUGUCUGCGGGAGGGACCUAGUUGUCGGAUGACACCCUGCUGUAUCUCGACACCCUCAUACAUCACUCUACAACAACUCACACACACUUUUUCCUCAGCACAUACGCAAAAAAGCAGCAUUCUUCCCCCAUCCUGGCACACACACACACACACACACGGGUAGAGGCCGCGCCGAAAGUCAGGUAUCGUGUGGUUUAAUUAAUUACCGUCUGAAAGUGACCAAGGUCAGAGCGUCGCUCGGCUGGAGAGCUUUGCAGAGGUCACGACCUCUCCACCCGACUCCUCCCAAGCUGUCAGCUGUCUGGAAGGUGAAGAGAAAGCACCUUAAACUCUUAGUUCACACAGAGCCGACUGUCCAAACACCUCGUGUUCCUCCCAGAUUCUACCAUGAAAGCGUUGGGUUCUACAUCACAAAGGAAAUAUAAAGGGAUCAAAAGCACCUGCUGUCUCUCUCUCAGGUGAUUGAUGGUUUAAGCUGCUUUAUUGUAAUGUUGUUAAAGUUGAACCUUUGUACUGAUUCAGUUUAAUAAAAGCUGGUAAAACUAAAUAUACGAAUCUAGAUAAUGAAAAUGAAAUGAAACUGAUAAUGAAUUUGGGUGUGGAUUAGAUUGUGAGUGACGCUUGGAUGGAUUAUCAAAAGCAAAGUCAAAGACGGAGAUACUAAAGCCAAAUAAGAGAUAAUAAAUGUCCCUUCAAACACAUUUAGGGACCCUUCAACCCAUUUCAUUAAUUAUGUUUCAAAAACUAAUUAGGUGAAGCUGGAGGAUUUGAUCAAACACAGUCGAUUGUAAAAAAUGAAAAAUGUACAGAUGGAAAUGUCGAGCAGUGAGUUAAAUGAAUGAAAAAAAAAAAACAUUGCCAGAGUUUAAUCUCCGCUGCUGUUGACAACAUUGUUGUUGUGUUUUAUUUGUCAUACGUGUAAUCUGUCUAUUGUCGAAGGCUCCAACUGAAACAGGUGCAGACUAAAGUGCAAAACAUUUCAUUAGAAAAGUCUUCUGUCUAAAAUAACACCAGUGCAUAACUCCUGUCCUGUGAAUAGUUCAUGCUAACAGGUGUUAGCCUGCUAACCACGAACACCCAUCGCUGGUGCUUCCAGCACAUACACACACAUCCGAGACUCUCAUUUAAACCAAAAUACUAUAUUCUCUGCAACUGAAAAAUGUGUUUAUUGUAAGAAGUUUAUCCUGUACUUUAUCACCAUAACAAUAUUUUAUUAUUACUCUAGAUGGGAAGAAAAAGUAAAUAGCACUUCAGAUCAGUGGACUAACAUAUUGGAUGUGACAUUCUCGUGUUUAAAUAAAGUAGACACAGAUGGAGGAACAGUGAGAGGGAGUAAGUCGUGAGAUCGCACAGAGAUAAUGAGAGAGAGACAGAGACGAGACUCAAAAUCACAGGUUCUUAAGUACAACGACGUCCCGCUACCCGCCGAGCCAACCAGAACAUUACAGAUGUUUCUCUGUCGGAGGAGCCGAUGCCCCGGGAGUUUAAAUGAAGCCGACCUCAGAGGAUCUUGUGCGUCUGUCGUGAGGUUUUUACAGAAAUCUAAUUAUUAUCUUCAAUUUAACAAGGUCACGGCACUAUUCCUGGGUAUGAAAGGGUUUUAUCAGUCACACAUUGUGCGACGUGGUGCUCAAGUCAGUGGGGUUUCUUAUUGUGUUUUACCGCCUUUUCAAGCUCAAGUGUUUCAUCUUUGUGCCUUUAGAUGAGCACAUCUAAAACCAUGAACACGUCAAAACAAUCACCAACGUUUGUUUGAUCGUCCCCUCAUAUGUAUUUUUUAUAAGACUAAUAAUAGUACCUCUUGCUGAAGCGACAUUUAAAAAAAAGGAAAAACAGGAAAAGCUUUUAAAAACAUAAAAAACAUGUUUCUCUAACAGAUUUUUCACAUUUCCCAGGAGUCAGAGAGGGUUGUGCGGCCCGAGGGUUCUCCUCUGGUCCGAUUGCGCGUGGACCGGGGGCCUUUCCUCCCGGCUCGCGUGGCGCUGGUGGAGCAGGCUGAGGUCUGACGUUGCUUGUCAGAGUUGUUGUGUGCGAAGAUGAUUGGAAAUAAAGGACCUGGCGACCCUCAAGUUUAUGAUUCGGUCACAAUCCUCUGUUUUGUACGAUUUACCACCUAAAUAUGGUUUAAAGAAACAGGCAUUCUGAAAAGCAGAAUUCAUGACACACUUCACCCACCUGUGUGUUUGAUAAUGUGCUGGCAACACUACCAACAUUUUAACUUGCUGCCGGCGUCCGUUUGACUUUUUUUGGGCUGCGCCGGUGACCUUCUGCAGACCUUGUUAGUGAGGAGAGUGCUGCUCCAUGCUGAUAGCUUUUUAAACCCCGACUUGCUGCUGCAGGAUGAAAGCUUUGUAAUCCUCAAAGAACACACACUCACAAAUGACUCGUGUUGAUUAAACAACCACAAACACACUGUUUUUUUGUUUUUAGCAUGUGUCACAAUCACAAAAUGGAAAAGGGUUUGAUAUGCUUGGUGGCAGCAAAUAGUAUGAAUGGACUGGUAGAUGGAUGGACAGGUAGGUAACUAAGUGGGUAGGUAGCCAGGUAGGGAGAUUGAUGGAUGGAUGGAUUGGACAGGUAGGUAACUAAGUGGGUAGGUAGCCAGGUAGGAAGAUUGAUGGACGGAUGGAUGGACAGGUAGGUAACUAAGUGGGUAGGUAGCCAGGUAGGAGGAUUGAUGGACGGAUGGAUGGACAGGUAGGUAACUAAGUGGGUAGGUAGCCAGGUAGGGAGAUUGAUGGAUUGGACAGGUAGGUAACUAAGUGGGUAGGUAGCCAGGUAGGGAGAUUGAUGGA
ensembl:lncRNA